rnacentral:lncRNA from 1 species
ACUACAUGGUGGUUUUGUUCUCUACCAUGGGAGAUAAAAGCAUGUAGGAAAUUACAGGAGUUCCCGUUGUGGCUCAGUGGUUAACGAAUCCGACUAGGAACCACGAGGUUGCGGGUUCGAUCCCUGCCUAUUUAAAAAAAGAAAAAAAGAAAAAGAAAUUACAGAUGAUCUCUAUGAAUAGUUAUGGAUCUGUGGUGACCUAGCAGUUAAGGAUUUGGUGUUGUCACUGCAGUGGCUAAGGAACGGGCUAAAGGCACAGCCAAAAAAAAAAAAAAAAAGCUAAACGUAAACAGUAGAGGAGUUCUCUUGUGCCUCGGUGGUUUAGGGGUCUGACAUUUUCGCUGCAGUGGCUGGGGUCCCUACUUUGGCAUGCAUUUGAUCCCGGGCCUAGGAAUUUAUGUAUGCCACAGGUGUGGCCAAAAAAGACAAAAAUAAUAAAAUGUACAUAUUCUUGAAUUCUUUUAUACAAUGUUAUAAUAAUUCCACAUCAGAAUUUAAUUUAUGGAGUAUUUAAGCUAGACUUUUAUGUAAGACAAUAAUUUUCAAUAUAACCAAAGUAAAAUUUGAAAAGGAACAAUAGCUCGCAGCCAGCUUUGAGGGCCAACUAUGCACAAGAAGAGAAGUAUGUAUAAAAGAUAGAAAAAGGUAAUCAAAUGGAGGUGUCAGAAACAGACCUGUGUGUGAAAUGAGACUGGAUUGAUAUUUCUGGCUCUGGACUGUAAUGACGUUGUAUGACCUGCCACAACCAUUUCCUCCACAAUGUGAUCUCUUACUCUUCUGGCUCAUUGGGUUCCAGUCACACUAGCCUUGUGGAUACUACUCAAAUACACCAGACAUGACCUUGACAGAGUCUUUGUACUUAUUUUACCUCUUCUGGAAAGCCUUUUCUCAACAUAUCCGCAUGACUAUGGCACAACUCUAUCAUGCCUCUAUGCUCUCUUAUAUCCAUUAUUUUAUUAUCACUCUUCCUUGGCUUGACAACUAGAGAUCCUAGAGAAACUCUUAAGCUCAGGUCUGAGGUUAUAUGGAGAGAUUUCCCCGAGAUACGAAAGGUUGUGUUAGGUACAUGGAUUAGUAUGUACAAAUGCUUGGGGAUGAGCUUGAGAUGGGGGUGUUCCAUGACUUGGAGGUCUCUGUUACUGUCUGGCGAGGACAGAUGGCAGGGGGCCAGAGUCAGGCCUAGAUGGUAGCCAUAGAAUUUUUGGAACUGAGGAAAGAAGUGAUUUGACUUAGGACUUAAGAGGCUACCCCUGACUGCAGAGUGCAGAACAGACUGAGGGCGAGGAAGACAAGAAGGAGCCCAUCCCAGAAGCAAUUGCAUGCAUCCAGGUGAGUGUUGGUUGUGGCAGGACCAGAGUGGUGGGUGUGGAGGUAGGAGAAACACUUGGCCUCUGGAUUUGUUUUGAAGUAGCGGCUGACCAGCUGUUGUAAUGUGGAGGGGUCACAGAUGACUCUAAAGUCCCCUUUGCAUCUGGAAGAGUGGAUGCGCCACCAGCUGAGAUGGGGAAGUCAGUGGUAGGAGUACUUUCUAAUGAGAAUAUUAGGAAUUGGGUUUUGGCCUUGUUGAGGUUCACAUGUUCCAGAGACUCCACAGUAUAGGAGACCAGUAUAGAGCUGAACAGGUAGGUCUUGAGGACAUGCAGAAGGGGGUUGUCACAAAGUCAAGGAAGAGGAAUGGUCAUCAGCAAGAAAGUAGGGAGCAGGAGAAGGGAAAGUCCAGCAGGAAGCUAAGGUUUUCAUGGCUCAGAAUUAGUCCAGAGGGUUCCAUUAGUCUCAGCCCCUCUCUGCUAAGUGGACCUCUGGGCUCCAGGUUCUGCCCCCUCCUAGUUAACGUUUCCUGGGACCUCACUGUAUUGGGAGUUGUUGGGACCCAAUAGGGUCCCUGUCUGUGGGGUCCAUCUGGCUGUCUCUGUGAGGACACCCCCCCCCCUCCAGAGAUUCGUUUUGUGGUGUUAUUUUUCUUUUCCGAGAUUGUUUGGGAUUGGUUGUCCUCCUGGGCCAGUACUGACCACUCACCUGUCCUGUCUUUCCCUUAGGACUUGCAUCUUCUAGGUCCCAUGUUGUCCAGCUAGAGCUGAGAGGGAGUGGACAUGGCUCCAGGCACAGCACGAGAGCCUCAGAGUGGGCCUGGCCCUGGUGAUUCACAUCUGGGGGAGGAUGUGAUGUCACAGCUGGGUUCACAUCAUACCAGGAACAUGUCCUGUGCCCAGCACUGUUUGGGUGUGUUGCACCCCAACCUUGAGUCUUUUGCCUGGCUGCUGACAUGGAGCUGAGGACCAAUAGACACCUUCUGGGCAGAAUAUUUCUGUAGAAGUGCCCCAGAUACAUCCUUCAACGGCAGACUUGUCCACCCAGACGACCUGUCCCUGGGAGAGGUGUAGGCUGGAAGAGCUGCACAGUCCCUGCUUCCACAUUGUCGUCACAUUGCGGGAAGCUGGGGAGGAUUUCCCUGGUAGCUCUGGCUUCCCCCUCCCAGCAGCCCUGGGAUCUAUUUGCUUUCCUUUAACAAAGACUUCGCCUGCUUGCUGCCUGUGUGUUCCUGGAGUUCAUUUCUUUGACUGCCCUGAUCAGGAACCCGGAUUCCCAUAUCAUCUUUCUGGUGGUAUCUUUUGGGGACUAGUCUGGGAUCCAAUCCAAUACAUCUGCACUCAUAAGAACGUCUGAGUCCCUGCCAGAUCUCCAGCAACAGAUUCAUGGGAUGUCUGAUCCAGCUCGCCCUCUGGAACUAGUUGACCUCUUCCUCCUGGUGGAAAUAUUUCAUCACCAUAGCCAUCAUCAUGAUCUUUAAUCCUUUUAUUUGGACCCUAUAUAAUUAAUUGUAUUUCUCACUUCAUUACAUCCCAGUUAAAAACUAUGGACCUGGAGUUCCCGUCGUGGCUCAGGGGUUAACGAAUCCGACUAGGAACCAUGAGGUUGCAGGUUCAACCCCUGGCCUUGCCCAGUGGGUUAAGGAUCUGCCAUUGCUGUGAGCUGUGGUGUAGGCCACAGACAUGGCUCAGAUCCCACGUUGCUGUGGCUCUGGUAUAGGCUGGUGGCUAUAGCUCUGAUUUGACGCCCUAGCCUGGGAACCUCCAUAUGCCGUGGGAGCAGCCCUAGAAAAGGAAAAAAGACACCCCCCCCAAAAAAAAAAAAAAAAA